rnacentral:misc_RNA from 1 species
GUGAAUCAUCGAAUCUUUGAACGCAAAUUGCACUCCCUGGUAUUCCGGGGAGUAUGCCUGUUUGAGGGUCGGUAGUAUAAAAAUCGAGGCGUCGCUCUUUUUUGUGAGGGUGAUCGCGUCGGAAUUGAGCCGUCUUUCAUAUGUUAAUGCAUGUCAAAGUAGCUUAAAAGUCAUCCAUCCGGUACG